rnacentral:tRNA from 1 species
GCCGCGGUCGCAUAAUGGUAUUGCGGAAGGUUCAGAUCCUUCGUCCGUCAGGACCUCUGGGUUCGAUUCCCAGCCGCGGCG